UACAGAGGGGGCAAGCGUUGUUCGGAAUUACUGGGCGUAAAGGGCGCGUAGGCGGCCCGCUAAGUCGAACGUGAAAUCCCCAGGCUCAACCUGGGAACUGCGUCCGAUACUGGCAGGCUUGAAUCCGGGAGAGGGAUGUGGAAUUCCAGGUGUAGCGGUGAAAUGCGUAGAUAUCUGGAGGAACACCGGUGGCGGAGGCGGCAUCCUGGACCGGUAUUGACGCUGAGGCGCGAAAGCGUGGGGAGCAAACAGG
rnacentral:rRNA from 1 species